AUUGAACGCUGGCGGCAGGCCUAACACAUGCAAGUCGAACGAGUGGCGGACGGGUGAGUAAUGCAUGGGAAACUAGCUUAUGGAGGGGGAUAACUACGGGAAACUGUAGCUAAUACCGCCUAACAUAGGAUGAGCCCAGGUGGGAUUAGGUAGUGGGUGGGGUAAAGGCUCACCAAGUCGACGAUCCCUAGCUGGGCUGAGAGGAUGACCGGCCACACUGGAACUUAGACACGGCCCAGACUCCUACGGGAGGCAGCAGUGGGGAAUAUUGCGCAAUGGGGGCAAGCUGACGAAGCCAUGCCGCGUGAAUGAAGAAGGCCUUCGGGUUGUAAAGGUCUUUCGGUAGAGAGGCGUUAACUACAGAAGAAGCACCGGCUAACUCCGUGCCAGCCGCCGCGGUAAUUC
rnacentral:rRNA from 1 species